rnacentral:lncRNA from 1 species
UUUGGUGAGUUUCCUUUUUUUUUUCCCCUUAAAAAAGUAAGUUCUUCUUUUCUGUUCUUCUUUUCUGUUCUUCUUUUCUUUUCUUCUUUCAGGUGAACUAUUUUUUUUUUUUUUUCUUGUUCUUUUUCUAAAGGAUAAGAUGGAAACAAGAAGUAACGAGGUAGAACAUUAUUGGGUGUCUUGAGUAAUAUGUCUUUUGUUUUUCCUUCAGUUGUGUCUGUUUUUCCUCAUGACUUAGUUGGCCUCCUUUCUCCUAUGCGUCUAUAUGCUAUUGUUUAAACCUGUCUUCUGGUCCUAAUCCCCUUUGUUCACUAAAAUAACUGAUAAGGAAAAUCACCAUACUCUAGUUUUUGGUGUCACACGUUUCAAAUUUAGCCAUAUUCUUUUUUAUAAGAAUUCACUCUUUUUUUUCUUUUCUUUUUUUCUAAUGAACAAUCUCAUGUUAUAAUGUGCGUUUAUUUAUUAAUAUUAUAUCAUCGGAUGCAAUGGAUUUUUAACUCAAAUAGUUAAGAGGUCCUAAGUUCGAUUCCACCCUCCCUCAAUAUGACUUGUAUAAAAAAUAAAAAUAAAAAUUAUAUCAUCAGAUAUAAAUUUGUUGUCCACUUACAUCAAUUUCUAAUGUUACAGUGACCAAAAAAAAAAAACUUUCUUCAAUUUUUUAUUAUCUUAAUGGUUUUUUGAGUUACUUGUGUCUCUACUAGUGAACUGUUACUUUUUUUUCUUUUUCUUUUUUAUAGAAAUAUUGGCUCCAAAAUCUCUGCCCUCGUCAAAGCUAUUGCACAUCUUCAGUUUUGGCGACCAAUCUAUUUCGUCGCCCAUUCUGAAAAUAACCAAACCAGCUAACAUAUGCGACAAAUAAACUACAUCUUUCACGACCAUAACAUUCAUCGCUGAAAUGUUCAGGCGACCAAACAUUUAUUUCGUCGCCAAAUAAUUUCAUGUUUGCGGGAAUUUUUGGUAUUUUGGCAGCAACUCACUCUCAAUGGCAACCAACUUGGAGCUGUGUAGUGAAGACAAAUUUAGUCGCUAAAAUAUUUUCAGCGACAAAAUUUUGUUUCGUCGCAUGGUAUCUUUAGCCCCGAGCUUUCAACGAUGACCUUAGAGACCAAAAAUAUUCGUCGCUACUUAUAUUUGGCGAUUAAAUUUGGUGUUAUAGUGACCAUCUUGUUUCGUCACUAAAAGGGAUUAUCCUUGUAGUGCUUCUUUCUUUCUAGAAGCUGAUAAAUAGACUCUGUGCCUUCUAAAAUCAAAUUAUCAUGGGAUAUUUCAUUAGUGUUAUGAAUUUUAGGAAAAGAUGUUACUUGAAUGACUUUCUCAGCAGGUGAUUGGUGGGGGCAAAAACUCAUAAAACGGUUCAAUUUCCUCCUCCUGAGUUUGACAGCGUGGAGAUAACUAAUUAUUUUCCUCUGGCGACCAGUCGCUGUCUAUUGGCAAUCGGUCGCUGUCUAUUGGCGACCGGUCAUUUUGAAGCAUGUUUUCCGUGUUUGAAGAACUAAGGGGGGGACCGGUCGCUUUCCACUGGCGACUAGUCGUUUUGAAGCUGAGUGACAUCCUGUGGAAAAAAAUCAAAAAUUUGAGGAGGGGUGGAUUCUCGAUUCUCCUCUUGUGCCGCUGAAAAAUAUAAGACAUGUUCCCGAAACACAACAUCCAUAGAGGUAUAGACCUUCUAACUAGGAGGAUGAUAACACCUGUAUCUUUUCUUAUGAGUGCAUAGCCAAUGAAACCACACUUUUCAGCUCGGUGAUCCAAUUUGCUUCGUUGGUGAUCAUGUAAGUGGACAAAUACAACAUAGCCGAAAUUCGGGGUUCCAGGUUUGGGGUGGGAGGUAUUUGGAUAUGGUAGUGUUUGAAGUGGCGUUUGAAAAUUUAGGAUACUAAAGGGAAUUCGAUUGAUAAGGUAUGCUACAGAGACGAUGGCUUCGCCCCAAAAAGAUCGUGGCAUAUUGGCACCGAAGAAAGAGGCACGAACUACUUCUAAUAAUUGUAUGUUCUUUCUUUCAACCACUUCAUUCUGUUGAGGAGUGUAAGGGCAUGAGCGUUGAUGUAUGAUGCCAUGAUCUUGUAAGAACUGGUUAAGAGCAUGGUUGAGAAAUUCUCCGCCAUUUUCAUAAAGAACAUGAAUUAUGGCAUGAAACUGAGUCUCCACCAUUUGAUGGAACCGUUGAAACUUAGAACUGACUUCCCUUUUAGUUUUGAGAAUGGAAACCUAAGUCAUGCUUGUGCAAUCAUCUACAAACGUAACAAACCAUCGAGCUCCUGCCGAGGUGGCAAUUUUAGCAGGUCCAUAAACAUCAGAAUGAACAAGAGAAAAUGGAAUUAAACUCUUGUUUGAACUUAAUAGGAACGGGAACACGAUGGCUCUUAGCCAAUUCACAAGUAUCACACUGGAAGCUAGAAACAUCAAGACUGUAAAAUAAUGAUGGAAACAACUUCUUAUGAUAACCGAACAAGACAUGCACAAGAUGUUUAUGCCAUAACCAAACUUUACCUACCUCCCCUUCAGAACAAGUUCCACGUGUUGUGAAAGCUUGACCAACCUUGGUCUUAACAUACGGUGCCAGUCUAAGUUGUAGAGUUUGCCCCGCCGAGUACCACAACUAAUCGUCUUUCCCAUGAGGACGUCCUGAAAAACACAAUGAUUCGCCAACAUGUUACAAUACACCACAAAGUAGUAGGAAGUUGUGCAACAGACAACAAGUUAUGGUCCAAAGAUGGAACAAUCAAUACAGAAUUCAGAUAUAGGGAAGUAGAGAGAGAUAGAGAGCCCUCCUCAACCACAGGGGAGGGGGUACCAUUAGCAUCAUCCACCAAGUUGGCCAGGAUCAAAUGUCAUGUGAUUCGUACCCGAGUUUGCGGAUUUUUUAGAGGACGUAUGAAAACUAGAACCUUUGGUGGUGCGAUAGAAGCACGAGUCCUAGUAGCCGAGUCAGUAGGAGUGACCGCAUGCUUCUGUGAGUCUGCAAUAAGGGAGAAAAUAGUAGGGCGUCCUAACAUCACAGUGGAAGUAAUAUGUGAUAUGAGUAUGUGAGGAAUUUGAUUGGAGGAAUUUGAUGUGUGAUUUUGAUGUAGAAAUUGGAUUUGAGAGGUAUGUGUUUAGGGAUUUUGAUAAGAGGAUUUGAGGACUUUGGAUUUGAGGGAUUUGGAUUUCGAGAAUUUAAAUAUGAGGAAUUUGAUUUAGGGUUUUGGAUUUAAAUAUGAGAAAUUUGAUGUAAGGGUUUAGAGACAACUUAUGAUCGAUUGCUCUGAUACCAUGCUAAAAUAUAAAUAUGGUUUGAAUACUUUACGUUAAGUUUUAUUCUUCUCCGUAAAGAGGUAUAUAUAAGAGUUUACAUGAGUGCUUUACAAGAAAUAGAUACAAUAAUCAAGUAGAAUACUAUCUCGUAAUUAUACAAUCAUUUGUCAAUUAUAUAAAAUAAAAAAGUAAAUCCCUUAUUUAAUCAAGGAAAUAAAUCUCCUUGAUUAAUUAACAGAUUCGUGUCAACAAAGACUGUGGUGCUACCCUUCUAGUAGAAAUUUUUUAUAUAUUUCUAUAAAAUUUGGUCUCGUUUCAAACAAAAAAAAUAAAAGGGUAGAUUUCUUUCCAAAGGUAAGAACUUUUUUUAAUUUUUUUUAAUCCAAGAUGUAAAAAAAAAAAACUCCGUUCAUGAAAUUUGAAUCAGGAAGUCUUUAACAAGUAAAAAUUAUACAAGCGAUUGUCUAAAUUAAUCUACUCUACGAAAAAGAAACAUCAACAAGGAAAGUGACAAUGACACAUUAGCAUAAUACCACGGAAUGAGCAUACAAUGAGUUAUAAGUACUAAACUUUCUUAGCGCUGAAUUUUUUUUAAUUUUUCUCAAUAGAGAGGUGGAGUUAGGAUUUUAUGUGUGGAGGGGAGGGGUCAAUAUAUUAGGAUUUAAAGUUGAUUUCUUUCCCAGUGUUAAGCUUGUAAAUAAAUAAAUAACAGAUUAUCUUUAAUUUCCUAUUUUCUUAAAUAUACUUGUGAAAGAAAGAUUUGAUUUGCUGUUUCUUUUAAUUUUUAUUAAUUAUGUUGGUAGAAUCUAGGAGUAAGUUUGCCAUAUUGCUAAGAAAAGAGUCUUUUAGUUGGAGGGGGAAAUGUAAAUCCCUCUUUCUCUUUAUUGUGGGGGGCCACAAGCAUUAAUUUAAUAUAUAUAUUAUCCUAAGUUGUAUAAUACAAAGACAAUAUAUAUACUAUUUUAGAAUUUUGGGAGGGCAAGGCCCUUGCAGGCCUAAGCACACCUCCACCCCUGGAGAACAAUACAUUCUUUGAGAGUAAAAACGAACAUAAGAGCUAGAAAGGGUCAUCACAUCAAUAGUACAUUUGUUCACCACAUGAUGUUUUACAAAAGAGAGACCCCCACCUUCACGUGAACUCCACCCAAACAUUAUUUAGUCCAAAAUACUACUUUAAUAUCAACCAACAACAUCCAAUCUGUUCCAAGUUCCAGUCCACCAUCUCAACUUCAUCAGCUUGAUCAAAUGCCUUCCAAUUCUAGUAGGGACGCUCGUCCUCAUAAUUACCAGGAGGGUCGUAGCUGCAAAUGACAAAAACCCAAUUGUUGUCACACUUAGCCCUAGCACAACCAAGAUGAACCGAGUUCCUCCAAACCACCCGAGUAUAAUGCCCACAUUCAUCCCCAACACAUUUGUUGGAGCCGUAGUUAGCAGCUGGAUUUUUUUCCAUGUCACCCAAAAUGUGUUGUCCACGUGUUAGGCUUGAAAAUUCGUCACACGAGUGGGGGUAGAGGUGGGCACUGUUCGGUUUGGACCGAUUUUUGCCUCAAAUUAGAACUGAUCCGGUACUAUUUAUCCGGUUUGGUUCAGUUCUGUUUUAAUUAAAAAAAUUCAAAAACUAUCUGGUUCGGUUUGAACCGGUUUCGGUCCGAUUUCGAUUUCGGUUCAGUUUGAACCGGAUUAACAAAAUUAUUUUUUUAAAUUGUUUUUUAAUGCAAUUCUCAACUGAAAUAUUUUUUUUUUUACUUGAAAAUUAACAAAUUAUUCAAUUUCAUAUAAAAAAUAAAUAUUAAAGUUAGAAAAGAUAGAUAUUUUGAUAUUAAACUUGGAUAAAUAUUAGGUUUUUCUUAGUGAAAUUAAAAAUAUAGCAUUAAAUAUAAAUAUAUAUUGAAAUUAUAUAUUUUUUUAAUUUGACCGGUUCGGUUCGAUUUUUGAAGACAUGGAACCGGAUCCAAAACCGGUCCAAAUCGGUUCAGUUCGAUUUUUGACCAGUUGUUGACUUUUUGGUCAACUCGAUUUUUUCGGGUUUGGUUCAGUGCGGUUCGGCUCGGAUUUUUGGUUCGCCGAUUUAAGUGCCCACCCCUAAGUGGGGGCGUGCGAGAAUGUAAAAGUAAAAAGUCCCACAUUAGAAAAUUAGAAAACCUUGCAAGGGUUUAUAAGGAUUUAGAUUAAUUCCCCCGUUGCAAAUUGGUUUUAUGGUGAAAUCUCAACUUCCUUCAAAUAGGACAAGGAAGUGGAAAUAGUAGCACUCAAAAAAAAAAAAUGUACGGUUAUUUAGCCUUAAUAAUGGAUAAUUAGUCCUUUAUUAAUUUUUUGGAUAAACCAAUUAGAAUUUUGUCUAGUUGUAUUUUCAAAAAAAGAGAGAUUGACUAACAAAAAAAAAACACAUUAAGAGAAUGAGAUAAUAUUUCGGUUAGAUUUUACGAAAAUGAAAUUAUAUUAUUCUUUUCUUUUUUUUGUAUUUAUUAUUCAUUCUCUUGUAACCUUUCACAAUAUCAUGUCAAGUGCUAGCUAGUCACAUAAAGGAAUGUUGUGAGUGUGGGAAAGUAUUUGUAUACACCCAUUACAUUUUAUUUUUCUAAUUUCACAAAAGAAAAAAAACACAAGACUUCUCAACAAGCCUCAUGUAGGUGUGCGUGUGCGCACGCAAGCAUACAUACAUUGUCUAGUAGGGGCGCUCGUCCUCGGGCUGGUACAUGGGAUCGUAGCUGCAAACCACAUAGUUCUGUCCAUUGUUGCACUUUGAAAUGCCACAUCCAACCUCGGUGGUUUUGCCCCAUACCACAGCAAGGUAGUGACCACAUUCGUCUUUGACGCAUUUGUUGGACUUUUCGUCAUAGAACUCCUUCUCGGUGACCCAAUACUUGGUGGCAGCUGCGCCGCUCAUGCCGUCACCAGAGGCCAAGUUCUCACCCCAACGCCCCAUCGAGUGCUCCAUGGCGCAGUCGCCAACUCUUUUAUCCGCAUAUUCUUGGGCAUACUGGGCCAAGGUCGUGUUCCAAUUGAGGGGUUUGUUGCCGACCUCUUUACGAGCCUUGUUGUGCUCCUCGACGAAGCCAUCGAUCUCUUCUUUAGAAAUGUUUGCAAAGACAAGAGUGAAGACCAAUGCGACGCAGCAAAUGGCCAAAAGAAGCUUCGUGUUGAACGCCAUUUUUGUUUUUUGAUAUGAGAAGUUUAAGGUCUUUUCUUUGUAGUAGAGAAGGUUGGAUUGUUAGAUGUUGAUUGAAAGGGGGCAUGGGAUUGUGCAUAUUUAUAGAGACACAGGCAAGUUUGUGUCCGCAAAGAGGGUCUUCGAAAAUAGGCCCUUAAAAAUGGGAGGGCUGAAUAUUAGUUUUUUGGAUUCUAUAGAUUGCUGUAGAGGCGGGGCCAAAUAAAGAAAAGAAAGAAGAGAUCCAUAGAAAUUUGUGGUGUCACAUCUUUUGUGCUUGGAAUGCGUCCACACCAAGUUUUACUCACAAUAAGGAGGGAAGACAAUUUCUUUGGUGAGUUUCCUUUUUUUUUUCCCCUUAAAAAAGUAAGUUCUUCUUUUCUGUUCUUCUUUUCUUUUCUUCUUUCAGGUGAACUAUUUUUUUUUUUUUUUCUUGUUCUUUUUCUAAAGGAUAAGAUGGAAACAAGAAGUAACGAGGUAGAACAUUAUUGGGUGUCUUGAGUAAUAUGUCUUUUGUUUUUCCUUCAGUUGUGUCUGUUUUUCCUCAUGACUUAGUUGGC